rnacentral:rRNA from 1 species
UGCAGUCGAGCGAACAGAUAAGGAGCUUGCUCCUUUGACGUUAGCGGCGGACGGGUGAGUAACACGUGGGUAACCUACCUAUAAGACUGGAAUAACUCCGGGAAACCGGGGCUAAUGCCGGAUAAUAUUUAGAACCGCAUGGUUCUAAAGUGAAAGAUGGUUUUGCUAUCACUUAUAGAUGGACCCGCGCCGUAUUAGCUAGUUGGUGGGGUAAUGGCUCACCAAGGCAACGAUACGUAGCCGACCUGAGAGGGUGAUCGGCCACACUGGAACUGAGACACGGUCCAGACUCCUACGGGAGGCAGCAGUAGGGAAUCUUCCGCAAUGGGCGAAAGCCUGACGGAGCAACGCCGCGUGAGUGAUGAAGGUCUUCGGAUCGUAAAACUCUGUUAUUAGGGAAGAACAAAUGUGUAAGUAACUGUGCACGUCUUGACGGUACCUAAUCAGAAAGCCACGGCUAACUACGUGCCAGCAGCCGCGGUAAUACGUAGGUGGCAAGCGUUAUCCGGAAUUAUUGGGCGUAAAGCGCGCGUAGGCGGUUUCUUAAGUCUGAUGUGAAAGCCCACGGCUCAACCGUGGAGGGUCAUUGGAAACUGGGAAACUUGAGUGCAGAAGAGGAAAGUGGAAUUCCAUGUGUAGCGGUGAAAUGCGCAGAGAUAUGGAGGAACACCAGUGGCGAAGGCGACUUUCUGGUCUGUAACUGACGCUGAUGUGCGAAAGCGUGGGGAUCAAACAGGAUUAGAUACCCUGGUAGUCCACGCCGUAAACGAUGAGUGCUAAGUGUUAGGGGGUUUCCGCCCCUUAGUGCUGCAGCUAACGCAUUAAGCACUCCGCCUGGGGAGUACGACCGCAAGGUUGAAACUCAAAGGAAUUGACGGGGACCCGCACAAGCGGUGGAACAUGUGGUUUAAUUCGAAGCAACGCGAAGAACCUUACCAAAUCUUGACAUCCUUUGACAACUC